AACGAACGCUGGCGGCAUGCCUAACACAUGCAAGUCGAACGAGACCUUCGGGUCUAGUGGCGCACGGGUGCGUAACGCGUGGGAACCUGCCCUUAGGUUCGGAAUAACUCCCCGAAAGGGGUGCUAAUACCGGAUAAUGUCUUCGGACCAAAGAUUUAUCGCCUUUGGAUGGGCCCGCGUUGGAUUAGCUAGUUGGUAGGGUAAAAGCCUACCAAGGCGACGAUCCAUAGCUGGUCUGAGAGGAUGAUCAGCCACACUGGGACUGAGACACGGCCCAGACUCCUACGGGAGGCAGCAGUGGGGAAUAUUGGACAAUGGGCGAAAGCCUGAUACAGCAAUGCCGCGUGAGUGAUGAAGGCCUUAGGGUUGUAAAGCUCUUUUACCCGGGAUGAUAAUGACAGUACCGGGAGAUUAAGCUCCGGCUAACUCCGUG
rnacentral:rRNA from 1 species